rnacentral:snRNA from 1 species
AUAAACACCUGGCAGGGGAGAUACCAUGAUCACGAAGGUGAUUUUCCCAGGGUGAGGCUCAUCCAUUGCACUGCGAGUGUGCUGACCCCUGCGAUUUCCCCAAAUGCAGGAAACUCGACUGCAUAAUUUGUGGUAGUAGGGGACUGCGUUCGUGCUUUCCCCUG